CAUAUGUAUAUAUAGCACAACACACCCAAGUUAGAAAACGGGCAUUUUUGACAGACUCGAAAUCGGUAUAAGGGAUCGAAGAUAUAAUAGGUAGGACAUCGACAAAGCUCACAGUCCUUCAAACCGUUGUCGCGAGCUACGAUCAGAUAAAGGAACGAGCCACUGGUAUGCAAAUCCUAAAGGAACUAAUGAAGAUUAAGAAUAGCCGUGGUAAAAGAGUUCGCCUCAUUUCUAAAACAUCUUUCGUACGUUCCCUCGUAGCAAUUCUACCUACGGUCCUAACGAGUCAUCCGAUUCCGAGCAUUCCAACAAAAGUCUUGGCUCUCCCUCUACGAUAACGGCAUUGUCCAAUCUUUUUAAAAAUAACGUACUAAAAAGGGAUUCGCCGACGGACCUCCUACGGCGAAUUUCACUCCGCCAAAGUCUAUUCACGGUCCGUCAUCGCCUUCAGUCCGGGCCACCGAAGAAAGAUAUAGAUAUAUAGACAGAUAGAGAGAAAGAGAAAAGGGUCGAGCUACGGUAGCCAAGCGGAGGCAAAGAUUACAUCUUCCACGGUAGCGCCGCCAUGAGAGAUUCGUUUUAAUAGCUUCUUGAAUUUUUUCGGUCCGUUCAGAGGCUCGCUUCUGUCUCUCUCUCUCUCUCUCUCUCUUUUUCUCUUACUGGACAUAUUUUUCUUUCUCCAUCCUUUUCGCGGAAGCCUCGCGAAGAUAGAAAUUCUAAAGUGAUAUUUCACCGGCUCGCUCCAAUCGACGUAAGUUCUUCAUUCGUGGAUGAAGAAUCCUUCGAAAGAUUUUUCGACUAAUGAGGGUAUCGUAAGAACGACUUCCUCCGUUUCCUAAUUUCGCGAGUUAGGAAAAAAGAAUGUCGAAUAUUCCAAAUCUUCGUGUUUCGUCUUUCUUAUUAAGAUUUUUGUAUUCUUAUUAUUUCUUUUCUUUCCUCGAUGUGAUAUAUUUUUAUUGAAAGGAAAUAUAUGAAAUAAUCUCUCGAAUCGUUGCGUGUGAAAUAAAAGAAAAGGAUGAAGAAAGAAAAAAGAGAGAAAUAGUGUCCUAAAAAUCGUACGAAACGUGCCAGUUACACACAGAUCCUAUCGGUUUAUUUCUUACUUAUUAACGAAUCCAAUUAUUUUCGAGAUAAGUUGAACGGUAAUUUGGUAACACGUAAAACGCACAGAGUUUUGAUUCGAACCUGGUUCUCGCGAUUCAAUGGUAAAGAGCCAAUCAGUGGUGGAAAGGCAAUAGAUCGUUGGUACCUGAUCAGCUGACAUAUAAAUACGCGCUUCUCUCUCUUUCUUUCUCUCUCUCUCUCUGUUGUUCAACUUCAUUAUCUUUAAAGAUAUUUUAUGCAAAUACUCUUAAAGCUCGCGUUCCUGAAUAUAUUAGUUGCCUUCACGCGCGAAUGCAUCUUUCGAUCAUCCAAAAAGUAACAAGUACAAAAAAUAAGAAGAUAAAAAUAGAAAGAAUCAAAAAUAAAAAGAAGAAAAAAGAACAGUUCUUCGUUGUAGAUUUCUUCUCUCUCUCUCUCUCUCUCUCUCUCUAUCUUCUUUCUCAAAGAUCGAUAAAUAAAAUGAUCGGUACAAGAGAGAAAAUUGAUUUACGAUAGGUCGAAUAUCGCGAAGAAACUGACGACGAACUUGGUCGUGGCUUGGUCGAACCGUUUAAAUAAUAAAGCGAUUUCAUUAUCGCGCCGGUUAAAUUUAUUCGCGACGUUUCAACGAGUAUGAAAGAAGAUAGAGGAGAGAGAGGGUGGUGGCUGGUGAUGGUGAUGGUAUAUCGUGAGCAAAAAAGAAAAAAGCGAUAUAGAGAAAAACAAGAAGAAGAAGAAGAAGUAGAAGAAGAAGAAGAAGAAGAAGAAGAAGAAGAAGAAGAAGUAGAAGAAGAAGAAGAGAAAGGGAAUGAGGAGGUGGCUCCGGGAUUUCGCUUUUCUUCCUUCUAAGCGGCGCUAAAACGUGGCGCGUUGAAAGGGUCCCUAAGGGCAGGACCCCGUGACUCUUCUUCCCCUCUCACACCGAAACGAACCACAGUCGAACUUAUUUUCAACUCGUCUCAUUCCUUCUUUUUAUUCUUCUUUUUCUCUUUCUUCUUCUUUUUCUCUUUCUUCUUCUUCUUCUUCAUCUUCUUUUUCUCUUUCUUCCUCUUCUUCUUCAUCUUCUUCUUCUUUAUAUCCUCGAUGGUGUGCGUGUAUACGCUCGUGCGCGCGGGCGCGCGCGAGGUGAUAAAUCACCGCGCCAUAAACAACCAAUAUUUCUCCUCGAAUGUUUACCGAGUACGCUUUAAAUGCCUUGUUAAAACAAACCUACGCCCGUGCGAGCCUGGACUGCGCCCUUUUUGCCCCUCUCUCUCUCUCUCUCUCUCUCUCUCUCUCUUUCUAUCUCUGUUUCACUCUUUCUUUCUCUUUCUUUUUUUCUCUCUCUCUUUCUUUCUUUCUUUCUUUCUUUCUUUCUUUCUUUCUUUCUCUUUCUUUCUAACAGACCAAUACUCGUUCCUCCCCUCUUCUCCUUCUUUUUCUCACAUCCUCCUUCUCUCUUUCGCAUCGCAGCUACACCGACCGACGGGUAUAUAUCACGAUGCGGCAUCGAAGUAAACUCCCUGACCCUUUCGCGAAAGCUUACGAUACAGGAGAAAGAAGAAGAAGACGAAGAAGAAGAAGAAGAAGAGGACUAAGAAGAAAAAGAGAAAGAAAAAAGAGACUUCGAUACUCGACGUUGGGUGGGUGAAGGAGAAGUUUCGCCGAAUAACAACGAAAGAAGUUAUAGGCGUUCUCGUAUAAACAAACAAUAUGUACGGUCGAACUAAGUUCAUCGUCGAGGACGUUGCCUAUGAUUCAUGGAGACCCGUAUCCCAUUCUACGUAGUAACGCGCAACGCUCGAGUGCCUCCGUCCAUAUGAGGUGACGUAUCCGUAACGAAGUCUAUGGUGGAUGAAAGUUGUUGAGGACGAAGAAAACUUGGAGAAAGAAAGAGAGAGAAAGAGAGAUGGAGAUAACUGAACGAUACAUAACUAAUUCGAAGGUAUGAGUACAAUAAUAUUCUUAUUGUUAAAGUAGAUUUGCUUUGUACUAUAAUUCGAUAGAUAGAUAGAUAGAUAGAUAGAUAGA